rnacentral:lncRNA from 1 species
AUGCCCAGCACCCACCAUCACGUGCGUGGCACACCCCAGAGCCCGCAGGCAGAGAGAGGAGGUGCAGCACGUGCCUUUCUGCCUUGGCUGGGGGUGGCCAGGCACACUGUGAGCAGCUGGCCCGGACCCACACUGCCCUUAAAGCCGCUAUCAGAGAGGGUCAGGGAAACCCCCUCACUAAGGGGCUGUCAGGGGCUUCCCUCCAGGAAGCAACAGGCCAGGGCAAAACUGCUCUGCCCACUUGGAGCUAAGCACCCCACCACCCACCCGUGCGGCCACCAACUGCCCAGGAGAUCCCAGGGGCGUGUCAGGAGUCACCCGUUUAAUUCCUAUGGCACGUGGAUAUCGGCUGCUGACCUGAUUCUACCCGGGGCUGCUUGGAGGGCUGAGGCGCCGCCCGAGUCCCAACAGUGGUAUGGUCUGAGCCGGACUCCACCCGGCCUGAGACCUGACGCUCCGCUUCCCCAUGACUCCAUGGACAUCCACGACCCACCCUGGAAGCAGGGAAGGCUGUGGGGUUCCAACCCCCCAAACUGUGCAGCUGAGGAAACUGAGCCGUGCGUGAACAGGGGCAGAGCCAGAUCCUGGGCGGAGACCCUGGGCAGGAUGAACUCGGAGCAGGAGGUCUUCCGCGCCCCCAGGAACAGGAGCGGGUCACCCCUUCCAGCCAGGGCUGUCCUGUGGCUGCGCUGGGGAAACGGCGGCCUCCCGGGACUCGGGCCCGGCACGUGGCAGCCUCCAGCCUCACGUUCGUUGUCCGCGGAGCGGCCACCAGGCGCAGGGUCCCGGGACGCGCCUGCAGGGGGAAGGCGGCGGCCCUCCCACCUGCGCGCCCCGAAGCAGUGCCCGGAGCAGGCAGCGGGCUCGCGCGCGGACUGCCCCCCACGCGCCUGCACAAAGCGCCUCGCGCCCCCGCCCCGAGCGGGCGCGGAGGAGACUGACCUGGCGGUCCGGGCGGCGCCGGCACGACGGGCGGAGGGCUCGGGACGCGCGCACCCUGGCGCACAGGCGCGGCCGCGGCUCCGCCGGCUCGGGGGCGCGCCGGGUCACGUGGGGGCACGGCCCAAUGGGAGCGCACCCCACGCCGCGGCCGCGCGGCCGCGAGCCCGCCACUCCCGUGGCCGCCACGGGCUGGGAGGAGGCGGCCGCGGGGGCUGA